AUGUUUCCAAGUAGCAGAGUACAUAAUCUUUCAAAUUAUAGACAAGGAUAUACAAGAAACACUGACCUAGGUACUUUGUAUUUUCUUCUAGCUGGUGCUCAAAAGCUAAUACGUACCUGGGGUUGCCAGAUACGUUUUCAAUUUCAUUCCAUGGUGGACAUCAGUGGAGCUGGAGAAAGUGAGCAUGUAACGAUAUCACUAUAUCAGUACAAUGGCGCAGAGCCAAAUCAGAACACAGGAAAGUGGUCAUUUCUCAGUUAUGAACUUAUGAUUGAUCACAGUAAGUUAGAAAACGUAAAAUGCAGCAAUUCAGAACUAAGAGGCACAACAUAA
rnacentral:rRNA from 1 species